UACGGGGGGGGCAAGCGUUGUUCGGAAUUACUGGGCGUAAAGGGCUCGUAGGCGGCCAACUAAGUCGGAUGUGAAAUCCCCAGGCUUAACCUGGGAACUGCAUCCGAUACUGGAUGGCUUGAAUCCGGGAGAGGGAUGCAGAAUUCCAGGUGUCGCGGUGAAAUGCGUAGAUAUCUGGAGGAAUACCGGUGGCGAAGGCGGCAUCCUGGACCGGCAUUGACGCUGAGUGAGCGAAAGCCAGGGGAGCAAACGGG
rnacentral:rRNA from 1 species